UGGGGAAUAUUGCACAAUGGGCGCAAGCCUGAUGCAGCCAUGCCGCGGGUAUGAAGAAGGCCUUCGGGUUGUAAAGUACUUUCAGUCGGGAGGAAGGUGUCAAGGUUAAUAACCUUGGCAAUUGACGUUACCGACAGAAGAAGCACCGGCUAACUCCGUGCCAGCAGCCGCGGUAAUACGGAGGGUGCAAGCGUUAAUCGGAAUUACUGGGCGUAAAGCGCACGCAGGCGGUUGAUUGAGUCAGAUGUGAAAUCCCCGGGCUUAACCCGGGAAUUGCAUCUGAUACUGGUCAGCUAGAGUCUUGUAGAGGGGGGUAGAAUUCCAUGUGUAGCGGUGAAAUGCGUAGAGAUGUGGAGGAAUACCGGUGGCGAAGGCGGCCCCCUGGACAAAGACUGCCGCUCAGGUGCGAAAGCGUGGGGAGCAAACAGG
rnacentral:rRNA from 1 species